rnacentral:rRNA from 1 species
AGCAGCCGCGGUAAUUCCAGCUCCAAUAGCGUAUAUUAAAGUUGUUGCAGUUAAAAAGCUCGUAGUUGAACUUCGGGAUCAAUUAGUUGGUCAUGCCUUGGUAUGUACUGAUUUUAUUGGUUCUCACCUUCUAAAGAACUAUAAUGUCAUUUAUUUGAUGUUAUAGGGAAUUAGGACUGUUACCUUGGAAAAAUUAGAGUGUUUAAAGCAGGCUCACGCUUGAAUACAUUAGCAUGGAAUAAUGAAAUAGGACAUCGCAUUCUAUUUUGUUGGUUUCUAGGAUCGAUGUAGUGAUUAAUAGGGAUAGUUGGGGGCAUUAGUAUUCAAUUGUCAGAGGUGAAAUUCUUGGAUUUAUUGAAGACUAACUACUGCGAAAGCAUUUGCCAAGGAUGUUUUCAUUAAUCAAGAACGAAAGUUAGGGGAUCGAAGACGAUCAGAUACCGUCGUAGUCUUAACCAUAAACUAUGCCGACUAGGGAUCGGAUGAUGUUGAUUUUUAAUGA